AAUGACUUACCCAGGUACAAUGAUGAAGGCCUGUAAUCCCAGCUAUAUGGAAAGAAGUCUUCAAAAUGAGCAAGAGGAGGAGGCAAAUUAGCAGCCAGUAAACCUGCCCAGACCUAAAGAAGUAUCUAUCAAGCAGAAGCAGCUCAAGGCCUCUGAGUUCUGAGGAUUGAACCCAGGACUUUGCACAUCCUAAGCAAGUGCUCUACAACUGAGUUACAUCCCAGCCCUUUGAAUCUCAGAAAUUGGGCCAUGAUUGAGAGGACGAGGUGCAUCUGUAAUCCAGCAGAACCUGUGGCAUGGAAUGUAGCCAGAAAGAGGCUGAGGUUCAUUAAACUGCAUGUCUACAUAGGAUGUUUUAUCUUGGUGCAGAUACAAAAAAAAAAGAAGGAACAACAGUCGUGCCAAAGUGGGCUGCGGCCACGUGCAGCCUAUUUGCCCAAGGAUAAGGCUAUUAAGAAGUUCCUCACUGGAAACAUAGUAGAGGGUUCAGCCCUCAGAGGCAUUUCCAGAGUGUCUUCCAUGCUUAUUUGCUUCCCAACAUCCAUGUGAAGCUGCAUUACUGUGUGAGUUGUGCCAGUUACAGCAAGGUGGUCCGGAAUCCAUCUCCUGAAGCCUGGAAGGAUUGAACACCUCCACCUUGAUUUAGACCCGCUGGUGCUGCCCCACGACAUCCACCAAAGCCCAUGUAGGAGCUGGAUCUUAAUG
ensembl:lncRNA